rnacentral:rRNA from 1 species
GACGAACGCUGGCGGCGUGCUUAACACAUGCAAGUCGAACGGAAAGGCCUGCUUUCCCUUGUGGAUUGCGGGUACUCGAGUGGCGAACGGGUGAGUAACACGUGAGUGAUCUGCCCCCAACUUGGGUAUAAGCCUGGGAAACUGGGUCUAAUUCCCGAUAGGACUGCAGGGUGGUGCCUGUGGUGGAAAACGAUUUUCUAGUGGUUGGGGAUGAGCUCGCGGCCUAUCAGCUUGUUGGUGGGGUAAUGGCCUACCAAGGCGGCGACGGGUAGCCGGCCUGAGAGGGUGGACGGCCACAUUGGGACUGAGAUACGGCCCAGACUCCUACGGGAGGCAGCAGUGGGGAAUAUGGGACAAUGGGCGGAAGCCUGAUGCAGCGACGCCGCGUGGGGGAUGACGGCCUUCGGGUUGUAAACUCCUUUCGACCGCGAGGAAGCCACCUGGUUGGAAGGGUGGUGACGGUAGUGGUAGAAGAAGCACCGGCUAACUACGUG